CUUGGUGGUUAUAGCGAGGGUGAUCCACCUCUUCCCAUUCCGAACAGAGAAGUUAAGACCCUCAGCGCUGAUGGUACUGGUUGGGUAACUGGCUGGGAGAGUAGGUUGCUGCCAGAA
rnacentral:rRNA from 1 species